rnacentral:lncRNA from 1 species
AUUUCGUAAUAUUUGAUAUAUAUUUUAAUAUCUGAAAUCGUUUUAACAUUAUAUCAUCUAUUCUGUACAAAUAAAUUAAUCGUGUAAUAACAAUAUACGAAAUUAUUUUUGUUUUCGUUCUACAAUGCUAGUGUUUUUAGGUGCGCGCGCAACUUGAUUCUCUUAUUUACAAUUGGUCAAGAAAUGUGCCGCCGACAACGGUCCUAGUUCCUUGGACAUACCGAUUCGAAAGCCGGUCAUUCUCAAUGAAUCUAAGUUUAGUAAAGUGAUCAACCGGGGCCAACCUGUAUUCGAAGAACGUGUAUCACGGGCCAAAUAUGCACGUCACAAUAUAAAACAGAUACAGAAACGUAAACCGACGAUGUGCGCAUGCGCCACGCGUGCGAAGGAAACUAGGAGAAUUUAUGUCGGAACCAAGCGUGAAUCUAACGAUAAUUAUCAACGAUUCUUCUUUCGGUACAUCGUUCUCGAAUGGAUAAAUGAUUAAGAGGAGAUAAUCGAGGUUAAUCGUUAUGAUCUUCUUUUGUACACGAUUAACUAUACAAUUAUACAGAUCAUAUCGUAUACAUUGCAUUUGAAAAUUCAUUUUACAAUUCAAUAAAAUACAACGAUUUAUAUUUGAUAUUGAAUAUCCAAAGUAAAAAUAUUUUUGGAAUUAUUUUCAUAUUAAUGAGUUUCCUUCCUUCCACGGAAGACGGAUUUCCGUGAAAGAUAAUAGAACGAUAAUAGAAAAGGAAAGAGAACGGAGGAAAAGCGGAGCGAAAACGAGACGAAAGGAGAAUGGGUGUUGGCAUCAUACUCGGGGAGCAGACGCGGCGCAGCGAGUGAACGCGUGAGACGGGAACCGGAAGUCUAUUUUCGUGUCCCGCACCGAUUUAGAAAGCUUUAUAGUUUGUACGAGCCUGAACGGCUACAGCCAACGCAUCGUUGAUGUGGCUCGUUGCUUUGAGUGCAUGCACAAAUUGAGAUUUGUGCGGCAUUCUCUUUCUCUCUCUCUCUCUCUCUUCUAUGCACAUCCAACUAUUUACAAACAUCAGCCCAUUAAAGAGAAAAUGACCCUUCGGGGGCUAGACAGCCUUCUUUUUUCACCAGGCUACUCGUCUAGCGCUGUUCGAGUUUCCAGCUGUCGUGACACGACUUCGUGAAAGGGACUGAAGCAUCGUCGACAAGGGGAGCGUGCUUUAACGAGGCACGAUCGAUCUACCCUAGCCCGUAUCGGGUCUCUAUUCACCCGUACGGGGAGGGGGGAAAAUAUGAUUCCAGGUAGAUAGAAUACGGCGAGAUAAGAGUGUCGUUUUGUCCUGCAAUCGAUAUUAUUAACCAAAAAAAAAAAAAAAUUCAUUUCGCUUUCAUAGAACAAAUAUACAUGAAAUUUGUGCAACUCUACUUUACCGACAAAUUAUGAGAUUUAAAAUCGAUCGCGUAAUAUUUAAAAUCAUAUUCCAAAAAAGUUCUUCUUCUUUUUUUAAACUCAAUAAUUUGAAUUUCUAUGUAACAGAUUUUCCCUCCUAAUUUUUGGGAAAAGAUUCAAAAAAUAUUCUCCAUUUUUUUUUUUCUCUGACAAUAAAACGAGAAGAAGAGCGGAAAAGCGCAAAGGAGGAAAAGUGUGGCGAGCGCCAGGUUCGGGUCAUCGAGCAGGAAUACAGGGAUAAGGCGAAGAAAAGGAACGGCGGAACGGCAAGAAAACGGCAGGCUAAAAGAAUCCGCCGGAUUUCCGCUCGACGUUAAAGCGCCUAUCGAGGCCGUUGCGCAACGCGCGUGCACGCCCGAUAACGAUGGAAAUACCAUCUACGCUGUUCGGACGGAUUUUAUCUACGGAAACCGAUCAGAUUUUCAUCGAUACAUCAUUUAAUAACUCAUUAAAUUUCUAAAAAGAGAUAUCUCCUCUUUCCUUUCCUUCCUUCCCUUGGAAAUUUUGGUAUCUUAAUUACUCGUCAUUUCGGAUAAUAAUAAUAAUAAUAAUUUGUCGGUCGAUUAACGAUAGAAAUUUGUUUGACGAAAUUUCCAAAGAUAUAUAUAUAGGAAACGUAUUCAAUAAACCAAGUAUUUUUACGAUGUUUAUUCAAUCAAGCAUCUUUUAAGGUAAAUAAUAUAAUGUUUUAACGAUGGAAAUGUGCGUAAAUAAAAUUUGCGGAGAAAAUAAAAAUAUU